UGAGAUUAGCGGCGGACGGGUGAGUAACACGUGGGCAACCUGCCUAUAAGACUGGGAUAACUUCGGGAAACCGGAGCUAAUACCGGAUACGUUCUUUUCUCGCAUGAGAGAAGAUGGAAAGACGGUUUACGCUGUCACUUAUAGAUGGGCCCGCGGCGCAUUAGCUAGUUGGUGAGGUAAUGGCUCACCAAGGCGACGAUGCGUAGCCGACCUGAGAGGGUGAUCGGCCACACUGGGACUGAGACACGGCCCAGACUCCUACGGGAGGCAGCAGUAGGGAAUCUUCCGCAAUGGACGAAAGUCUGACGGAGCAACGCCGCGUGAACGAAGAAGGCCUUCGGGUCGUAAAGUUCUGUUGUUAGGGAAGAACAAGUACCAGAGUAACUGCUGGUACCUUGACGGUACCUAACCAGAAAGCCACGGCUAACUACGUGCCAGCAGCCGCGGUAAUACGUAGGUGGCAAGCGUUGUCCGGAA
rnacentral:rRNA from 2 species